GAUGAACGCUGGCGGCGUGCUUAACACAUGCAAGUCGAACGGGAUCCAUCAGGCUUUGCUUGGUGGUGAGAGUGGCGAACGGGUGAGUAAUGCGUGACCGACCUGCCCCAUACACCGGAAUAGCUCCUGGAAACGGGUGGUAAUGCCGGAUGCUCCGACUUCUCGCAUGGGGUGUCGGGGAAGAUUUCAUCGGUAUGGGAUGGGGUCGCGUCCUAUCAGGUAGUCGGCGGGGUAACGGCCCACCGAGCCUACGACGGGUAGCCGGCCUGAGAGGGCGACCGGCCACAUUGGGACUGAGAUACGGCCCAGACUCCUACGGGAGGCAGCAGUGAGGAAUAUUGGUCAAUGGACGAGAGUCUGAACCAGCCAAGUAGCGUGAAGGAUGAAGGUCCUACGGAUUGUAAACUUCUUUUAUAAGGGAAUAAAACCUCCCACGUGUGGGAGCUUGUAUGUACCUUAUGAAUAAGCAUCGGCUAACUCCGUGCCAGCAGCCGCGGUAAUACGGAGGAUGCGAGCGUUAUCCGGAUUUAUUGGGUUUAAAGGGAGCGCAGACGGGUCGUUAAGUCAGCUGUGAAAGUUUGGGGCUCAACCUUAAAAUUGCAGUUGAUACUGGCGUCCUUGAGUGCGGUUGAGGUGUGCGGAAUUCGUGGUGUAGCGGUGAAAUGCUUAGAUAUCACGAAGAACUCCGAUUGCGAAGGCAGCACACUAAGCCGUAACUGACGUUCAUGCUCGAAAGUGUGGGUAUCAAACAGGAUUAGAUACCCUGGUAGUCCACACGGUAAACGAUGGAUACUCGCUGUUGGCGAUAUACUGUCAGCGGCUUAGCGAAAGCGUUAAGUAUCCCACCUGGGGAGUACGCCGGCAACGGUGAAACUCAAAGGAAUUGACGGGGGCCCGCACAAGCGGAGGAACAUGUGGUUUAAUUCGAUGAUACGCGAGGAACCUUACCCGGGCUUAAAUUGCAAAGGAAUAAUCUGGAAACAGAUUAGUCUUCGGACCUUUGUGAAGGUGCUGCAUGGUUGUCGUCAGCUCGUGCCGUGAGGUGUCGGCUUAAGUGCCAUAACGAGCGCAACCCUCGCCGCCAGUUACUAGCAGGUAAUGCUGAGGACUCUGGCGGGACUGCCAUCGUAAGAUGUGAGGAAGGUGGGGAUGACGUCAAAUCAGCACGGCCCUUACGUCCGGGGCUACACACGUGUUACAAUGGGCGGUACAGAAGGCAGCUACCUGGCGACAGGAUGCCAAUCCCAAAAGCCGCUCUCAGUUCGGACUGGAGUCUGCAACCCGACUCCACGAAGCUGGAUUCGCUAGUAAUCGCGCAUCAGCCACGGCGCGGUGAAUACGUUCCCGGGCCU
rnacentral:rRNA from 1 species